rnacentral:rRNA from 1 species
GACGUAGGGCGCGAGCGUUGUCCGGAUUUAUUGGGCGUAAAGAGCUCGUAGGCGGCUUGUCGCGUCGACUGUGAAAACCCGUGGCUCAACCAUGUGGUCUGCAGUCGAUACGGGCAGGCUAGAAUUCGGUAGGGGAGACUGGAAUUCCUGGUGUAGCGGUGAAAUGCGCAGAUAUCAGGAGGAACACCGGUGGCGAAGGCGGAUCUCUGGGCCUGUUCUGACGCUGAGGCGCGAAAGCUAGGGGAGCAAACAGG